CAGCUGAGGACUCUGGUUUGGGAACGAUGGUUAAGUUUGUGGCUGAUCCUGUGGUUUGGUGGGAGUUGAGCCGCAGUUGGGUCACACACACACAGGCAGACAUGCACUCUUCGGAAGUCAGCCACUGUCUACAUUGGUUGAGUGAGUCAGCCCAGACUCUGGCAGUAGCAAGAUGAUCUUCCUCCAACGUCGCCCGGCGCUGGCUGGUUUUCUGCUGGGGCGCACAAAUACCCACGAGCGAGCACCGUGUAACCGCAGCAGGUGGAGCGGGCCUGGGAGGAGGCGCCGUAGACCAGUAGACUCGAGUUACACACGCUCACUCCCACGCACCCUGCCACGCACACGCAACUUCACCGCUCGCCUGGAAGCCCGGAACACUUUCUCCCGCAGUUGUCAAAAGAAACAAUCGGAGAAAAGUUUACAGCCAGGAGAAAAGUUGAAACAUCCAAAGCCUAGACGCCGGUUCAUUCAAAAGUAAGAAAGGAAAAACAAAA
rnacentral:lncRNA from 1 species